GAAACGGGUGGUAAUGCCGGAUGCUCCGGUUGGAUGCAUGUCCUUCCGGGAAAGAUUUCAUCGGUAUGGGAUGGGGUCGCGUCCUAUCAGGUAGUCGGCGGGGUAACGGCCCACCGAGCCUACGACGGGUAGCCGGCCUGAGAGGGCGACCGGCCACAUUGGGACUGAGAUACGGCCCAGACUCCUACGGGAGGCAGCAGUGGGGAAUAUUGCACAAUGGGCGCAAGCCUGAUGCAGCGACGCCGCGUGCGGGAUGACGGCCUUCGGGUUGUAAACCGCUUUUGAUCGGGAGCAAGCCUUCGGGUGAGUGUACCUUUCGAAUAAGCACCGGCUAACUACGUGCCAGCAGCCGCGGUAAUACGUAGGGUGCAAGCGUUAUCCGGAAUUAUUGGGCGUAAAGGGCUCGUAGGCGGUUCGUCGCGUCCGGUGUGAAAGUCCAUCGCUUAACGGUGGAUCCGCGCCGGGUACGGGCGGGCUUGAGUGCGGUAGGGGAGACUGGAAUUCCCGGUGUAACGGUGGAAUGUGUAGAUAUCGGGAAGAACACC
rnacentral:rRNA from 1 species